AAGACUCUCGGCAACGGAUAUCUCGGCUCUUGCAUCGAUGAAGAACGUAGCGAAAUGCGAUACUUGGUGUGAAUUGCAGAAUCCCGUGAACCAUCGAGUCUUUGAACGCAAGUUGCGCCUGAAGCCAUUAGGCCGAGGGCACGCCUGCCUUGGGUGUCGCACAU
rnacentral:rRNA from 1 species